GACGAACGCUGGCGGCGUGCCUAACACAUGCAAGUCGAGCGAAAAGACCAGGAGUUUGCUCCUCUGACGUUAUCGGCGGUCGGGAGAGUCACAUGUGUUUAACCUACCUCUCAGACUGGGAUAAUUACGCGAAAUCGGAGCUUAUACCGGAUAAUAUAUUGCACCUCGUGGUUCAAUAGUUAAAGUCGGUUUUGCUGACACUAAUAGCUGGCUCCGCGCCGCAUGAGCUAGUUGUUAAGGUAACUGCUUACCAAGGCUGGGAUGCUUAGCCGACCUGAGAGGGUGAUCGGCCACACUGGAAGUGAGACACGGUCCAGACUCCUACGCUGGGCAGCAGUAGGGAAUCUUACGCAAUGGGCGAGAGCCUGACAGAGCACCGCGGCGUAAGUGAUGAAGGUGUUCGGCUCGUAAAGCUCUGUUAUUAGUGGAGAACAAAUGUGUAAGUACCCAUGAAGGUAUUGACGGUACCUGGUCAAAAAGCCCCGGCUAACUACGUG
rnacentral:rRNA from 1 species